CAGAGGGGGCAAGCGUUGCUCGGAAUCACUGGGCGUAAAGGGCGCGUAGGCGGGAUGGCAAGUCAGUCGUGAAAUCUCUCGGCUCAACCGAGAAACGUCGGCUGAUACUGCCGUUCUUGAGGGAUGCAGAGGAGACUGGAAUUCCCGGUGUAGCGGUGAAAUGUGUAGAGAUCGGGAGGAACACCGGUGGCGAAGGCGGGUCUCUGGGCAUCUCCUGACGCUGAGGCGCGAAAGCGUGGGGAGCAAACGGGAUUAGAUACCCCGGUAGUCCACGCUGUAAACGAUGACGACUAGGUGUGGGGUGGUUCAGUCCAUUCCGUGCCGCAGCUAACGCAUUAAGUCGUCCGCCUGGGGAGUACGGCCGCAAGGUUG
rnacentral:rRNA from 1 species